GGAUUGUGGCUCAGAGGUAGAGCACUUCCCUAUCAUGCGUGAGGCACUGGGUUCGAUCCUCAGCACCA
rnacentral:tRNA from 1 species